CAAUAGCGUAUAUUAAAGUUGUUGCAGUUAAAAAGCUCGUAGUUGGAUUUCUGGUGGGAGCGAUCGGUCUGGCGCUUAGCGCGAGUACUUGCAUCGUCUCCGGCCAUCCUUGGGGAGAGUCUGUCUGGCAUUCAGUUGUCGGGAUUGGGAUCCUCAUCGUUUACUGUGAAAAAAUUAGAGUGUUCAAAGCAGGCCUCGGCCUCUGAAUACAUUAGCAUGGAAUAAUAAGAUAGGACUUUGGUGGUCUAUUUUGUUGGUUUGCACGCCAAAGUAAUGAUUAAUAGGGAUAGUUGGGGGUAUUCGUAUUCAAUUGUCAGAGGUGAAAUUCUUGGAUUUAUGGAAGACGAACUACUGCGAAAGCAUUUACCAAGGAUGUUUUCAUUAA
rnacentral:rRNA from 1 species